rnacentral:rRNA from 1 species
GAUGAACGCUGGCGGCGUGCCUAAUACAUGCAAGUCGAGCGAACGGACGAGAAGCUUGCUUUUCUGAUGUUAGCGGCGGACGGGUGAGUAACACGUGGAUAACCUACCUAUAAGACUGGGAUAACUUCGGGAAACCGGAGCUAAUACCGGAUAAUAUUUUGAACCGCAUGGUUCAAAAGUGAAAGACGGUCUUGCUGUCACUUAUAGAUGGAUCCGCGCUGCAUUAGCUAGUUGGUAAGGUAACGGCUUACCAAGGCAACGAUGGAUAGCCGACCUGAGAGGGUGAUCGGCCAGACGGGAACUGAGACACGGUCCAGACUCCUACGGGAGGAAGCAGUAGGGAAUCUUCCGCAAUGGGCGAAAGCCUGACGGAGCAACGCCGCGUGAGUGAUGAAGGUCUUCGGAUCGUAAAACUCUGUUAUUAGGGAAGAACAUAUGUGUAAGUAACUGUGCACAUCUUGACGGUACCUAAUCAGAAAGCCGCGGCUAACUACGUG